rnacentral:rRNA from 1 species
GACGAACGCUGGCGGCGUGCUUAACACAUGCAAGUCGAACGGUAAGGCCCUUCGGGGUACACGAGUGGCGAACGGGUGAGUAACGCGUGAGUAACCUGCCCUUCACUCUGGGAUAACAGUUGGAAACGGCUGCUAAUACCGGAUAUUCAGCUCCUGUCGCAUGGUGGGGGUUGGAAAGUUUUGGUGGUGGAGGAUGGGCUCGCGUCCUAUCAGCUUGUUGGUGGGGUGAUGGCCUACCAAGGCGUCGACGGGUAGCCGGCCUGAGAGGGCGACCGGCCACAUUGGGACAGAUAUACGGCCGAACCCCCUACGGGAGGCAGCAGGGGGGAAUAUUGCAAAAUGGGGGGAAGCCGUAUGCAGCAACGCCGCGGGCGGGAUGACGGCCUUCGGGUUGUAAACCGCUUUCAGCGGGGACGAAGGGAAAGGGAGGUAACCUAAAAAAGAGGACCGGGCAAGCCCCGAC